UGAAGAUCCUGUCAGUUUAGCGUCUCCUAGGGUUCCAAAAGGCAAUAUCAUCUGCAAAUGUUAAACAAAGUCCGGAGAUUCAAGCGCUAUCGAGAUUUGAUAGGGUUCUUCUCCAACGAUCCUUCUCUUGAAUGUCGGUAACAAUUUCGAUAGCCUCCACCACUGUCACCGCCGGAGCUCCGCCGCGUUUCUCUCUACAGUUGCUUCCGCCAAGAAAACCAUGGCGUCGACAUCUUUUUCCGCAUCUGGUGGCGAGCUCAAUGCCGAUAAAAGAAGUUGUAAACUUCGAGAAAGAGAUUAAGAAGAGCAAGUUCAUCGCCAUCGCAGGUAUAUCUGACCGAGUGCUUGACGGUGUGUCAUUAGGUUCGUGAUCCCUGCGCGUCGCACAAUUGUUGGGCUUACAAGAUAGGUGGGCGAUCACUAUCGUUCUAGCGUCGAUGGUGAGCCGUCAGGUACUUUGGAGGCAUUAAACUUGGCACUGGAGUGGCAGAUCACCGGAAAUAUUGGUGAACGGAAAGAGACGCAGAGCUGCUUGCCGUGGAGAGCAUGAUGUGCUAAACGAGGAGAAAUUAAGCGAGUCGGGGAAGAGGCGAGUAGGAAAAUAGAGGAGAUGAGAUUAGAGGGUAAAGAAGAGGCUGGAAAAGCUUAAGAAACCAAAGAUUCCGUCGCAGAGAGGAUUCAUAUAAAAGGUAUAAAAGGAGGAGACGUGAGAAACAAAAAACUCUGUCUUCGCCGAUACAAUGCUCUGGCCAUUCCGCCAGUGGCAGAAAGAGGAAGAAGAAGUGGUAAUUCCUCGAGCUUGUCCGAUCUGGACAGCAAGAAUCAUCAAGAAAGCGGGCAUUGUCCAGGGGACAUAACUCCAUGGACAAGGGAAGAGCUGCAGAGUUGGAGAUGCCUUGUGUCUUUACCAAAGUGGAGGAGCCCAAUGGGAGAAGGGUACAAGGGAUUCUGUAUAAGUAUCUGAAAGGAAGAUGAGGAAAUGAGGAUAAUUUGCAUAUGCCAUGGCAGUUUCCUUUCCCUUGCCGAGUUUGUGAAACACACCGAUCGAGAAGAAGUAGAUCAUC